rfam:Roseburia sp. CAG:50 genomic scaffold, scf415
UAAUCACAUAUGGGGAGCUUAUGUACUAGGCUGAGAGGAAGUUGAGAACUUCGACCCACAAACCUGAUUUGGAUAAUGCCAACGUAGGGAUGUAUAAGGAACGAAUG